rnacentral:lncRNA from 1 species
GUACCACAGUUUGUUUCAUUUCUUUCUUGCACUUCAUGAUCUUCACCAGCUCAUCUAAACACCAUCUGGAACCAGCAUAGUUUUCCGAGAAAACUAUUAGGGAAAACCUUGAUUCUUCAAUAGCUUUUAGGAGUUCAGGUUCAAUCUCUUCCCCUCUCUCAAGUGAAUCAUCUCUAAAGGUAUGAAUACCUCUUCGAAUCAAAUUUUCAUAAAAAUGAUCAGUGAAAUUGAAUCGGGUGUCUUCACCUCUAAAACUCAAGAAAACAUCAAAAUACCUUUGUGGGAUGAAAGUAGAAAUAGAAGUAGAACUUGUGGAAGCCAUAAGAAACUUCUGCCAAAAUCAGAACUUAGAAGGGAUUUUGCAGAAUUGUGAAUGUAGAUUGUGCAGAUUUGUUAGCAAAAAUUUGUUGAUGAAGGAUUUUGUGUCACUGUAAUGUAUAGAGAAGAGAGUGACAACACGCGCUGCUGCAGAUGAGAUUACGGAGAUAGAGCAUCUUACUUUGGGUGAUGUCAGUGCCAGCUGGACAAUACAAUCGCACUGUGCGAUGCUGCUCUUUUUUUUUUUUGAUUCGUGUCUUUUUAAAGUUAGAAACUUUAAUUUAAAAAAAAAAAAGAUAUGGAAAAAAAUAGUCCGGCGUCUGUUCUUUAAAAUAAAGAAAAAAAAUAACAGUUUUUAGAAUUUGAAAAAAAUAAAAGAAUGUUUGACAGAUGUUUUGAAAAUUAUUAUUAUUUUUUUAAAAUAAAAAAUUUAUUUGAAUAAAAGAAUUUAUAUUACCUUCAAAUAAUUGUAUUGUUUUUAAAGACAAAAUAUCAUGCCUCAAAACCCCUUCAUUGACAUGAAGAUCAUUUUACACUUCAAAUCUAAGAUUUAAAGUCGAAAUGAUAUAACCAUUUAUCUUGUAAUUGAAAAAUAUUAAUUAUUAAAUUCAUAUUCAAAAUAAUAGAAUAAAAAUUUUAAAAUUUAUAAAAAUCAACUUUAAAAACUGACACAUCAACCAAAAUAUUAUUGUUAAAAUAACUCUAAUUUCAAAUAAUUUAAACAAUAAUUAAAUUUUAAUAUUUAAAUAAUGUCCAAAAUUAAUUUUGAACCUAAAUAUUAACGAAGAAAAAUUUCAUAACUCAACCAUCACUCUUGGUCAGAACUAAAAUAGCAUUACCAGCUAGCUAACAAGAAUAAGCUAACUUUCUGUGUGUUCGCGCUUGUGUGGCGCACAGUUUUACAACAAAGCCGACUUCAGAUGGCCUAAAUGCUGCAGUUGAAACUGUUGGCCUGAAAGCCGACACCCAAGCAGCAACAGGCGAAGCCAUACAAGAAAGCACAUAUGCAUUUGGAAUUCCAGAGGCUGUUGUAACUUGUUACAUGCAUUCGGCCUUCUUUAAAGGCUUGAAAUAUGCCAAUGGUUCUUUUACUGCCUGUCUUUCGCCUGUAUAACAAAUCUGUUUUCAUUGAUCAAGUGUUUCAACUAUAUGAUUACUUACAAUUAAAACUGUGAGGACACCAUGCAUUUGGAGAGAUUCUAGGUAGAGCUUUUAAAUGAUUACAAACAAGAAAAAUCUCUAUGCUUGAAAUAUGCAAAUCAAAAUCAACAAUAAAUUGAAUGCAUUCCAAAUUUGAGUUAUAGGAUGCACAUGUCCUUCACUAUUUAAGUUUAAUUAUAAUUUAUUCUAAAUAUGAGUUUCUAAAACUAAGUGUUUAGCCAAUCUUAAAAAAAAAAUGAAAUCAAGUUUUAGGCAUUAGGGUUCGGAUUUCCAAACUCAAAGUUGUAAAAUGACUAAUAUUUAAGAUGAAUUAUAUUGAGAAGUGUCUCAAAUUCCUAGUUAUAUAUUCCUUGUGAAAAGAAUAUUUUAUAAGUUCAUAUGUGGUUGUAAUAAAAUUCUUUGUAGAAUAAAGAAACUUAGUAGGAAUAUCUCUCUAAAUAUUUUAGGUUGAGUAGGAAAAAAGUUAUUAUAUGAGAUGGAGAUAGAGAUGAGAGGAAGAGUGAGAGACAAUUAAUGAAGUAAGAGUGCUCAUGGCUUAAGCUAUAGAUACAAAGACCGGAAAAUGAUGGAUGUUUAAUAACCUAGUCGUUGCAUCUGUUUUUACUAUCUGUAAUAUUUUUUUAUUGUAUAGUGGAAUGUUAUCUCUUAUUUAUAGGUGUAAACGUGGUUGAUCAAAUCAUACUAAAACUUUGCGUACCUUUAUGCAUGAAUUAUCUUUAUUUUUUGUUUUUUCAUUGGUGUAUUUUCAUUAAGACUUCCACUAGCCCAAUAUAUGAUAUAAGAACUUUUGUUGACCUAACAGACUCAAUACUGUCUUUUCGGGAUGUAGUGAAAAGGCCUUUUAAAGGAUUUGUAUUUUAUCAUAAAGUAGAAAAGAAAGAAAAGAAACAUGACAGAAUUUCGACCCCUUCGAACCACUUGGCAUUAUAUUCUUAUAUUGAUGAUAAAUACUCAAGUCAAAAUUGUAUGGUGUUAUAUAGUCCGCACAUAUCUUAAAGUAAUUAAGAAGGGGGAGGAAGAUGGCUUACCAAUAAGUUUCCAUGAGGGCAUGAAUGAACAACUAAAAUAGAGAGAUGGUGGAAUAUAAAGAGGACUUUCCUAGCAAGUGCACCUGGCAAUGGAGCUUAAAGCUUGAGAUCAGUGCUGGAUGCUCUCAAUCUUUUAGGGUGUGGUUCCUGAUCAUCUGCUUGGUUUUCCCUGGCAUCAUCAUGGCCUCUUUGAUGAUCCAACAACAUAGACACAUUGUCAUGUAGAUAAUCAUGGGUGUAUAUCAGCUGAACUCCGCACCUCUUGAUAUUGGGAUGCAUAGGCGAACCAUUAAUCCUAGGAAAAAAAUCAAACGCAACCAGAAAGUGCCAUGGUUGAUUGCGUUGGUACUUAUUUGGAAUAGCAUUCUUAGGAUAGAGAGUCACCGACAAUGGACCUGAUGCAUCACCAUUAAAGCUGUCGCAUGUACACCCAAACCUAAUGGUGCGGCCAUCCAAAACUUCAUCCGGGUCACCGCGCAAUCUCAGACUAAAUGGAGUUCGAUGCAGACAAUCACCCUCACGAUAAAGAGUGAAGAAAGCAAAUCCCGGAAAGUGGUCAUCCUCGUACCAAUUCAAAGGAGGCUCUAUUCUCACUUGGCUUCCAAUCUCCUGAUGCAAUACCCACCCUGGAAUUCCACCAUUUCCUAGGAUAACAAUCAUCUUGCCUUCCUUGCAAUUCAAGUGCUGCAUAUACAAUCAAAGCUAAUCCGUAAUUGGAGUACUACUAGGUGGAUGAAAAGUUUUAAGUGUCGUUAUUAAAUAAAAAUCAUACCUCAUUACUUGUUGGAUUAAACCAUUUGAGGAGGGGAGACCAGAGUAGAGAUGAUGGACUCGAUAACAUUUCCAGCUUCGUGCAAUAGUGGGCAUCUAUUUCUCGUGGACUCGAUGGAAGCUCUGGAAUUUCUUGGAGCAUCUUGCAGUGACUGAUACCAAGGUAACGAAGCUUACAAAGUUGAGAUAUGCAAGAAGGUAUGCUAACCAUAUGGUCCCAGAUAUCAGUGGGUAUCGACCCUUCCAUUAGAUUGGAGUGACUCAAAUCUAGUUGUUUUAAGGAGCAGAAUCCUUCCAGAUUCUAGGGAAACUUUUCCAAGUUUGAACAACCACGGAGCAUCAGAUUUCUAAGGGAUCUCAAAUUAUAAAUGCUGUCCGUGGAAGAGUCACACGGCCAGUGCUCAUCCACAAACUUCUAAGGCUUUUCAGAUUUUGAAUUGAUGAUGGUAAUUUUUUUAUACCUGAAUGUCUUAAAUCAAGAUAUUCUAAGCAUUUCAUAUCCUCCAUGAUUUCUGGAAAAGUAUCUAGAUUUGAACAACCAUAGAGAUUGAGAUCAACAAGGGACUUUAACCUGCAAAUGCUACUUGGAAGACUCCUCAAGUUUUUGCAGUCUGACAUAUAUAACCCCUUAAGUCCAGUGAGAUGUUCUAUUGAGGAGGGUAAUUCCUUAAUACCACAUCCAUCAAGGUGAAGAUAAGAUAAAGCUUUCAUAGGACUUCCCUUCAUCUCCGGAAAUUCCUCCAAGUUUGAGCAAUAAUCCAAGUGAAAAGUUUUAAGAGAGUCCAAGUAUUGAAUGCUACUUGGUAAACUCGUAAGGUUUUCAGACCAAUUCAAAUUCAACCAGGUAAGCUUAUUGAGAACUCCAAUGGAUGGAUCAACAAUAUUCAAACUUGUACAACGUCCAAGUUCUAACUCCUCUAGAUUUGGCAUAUUUGAGAAGUUUGAUAUUUCAGUGAGUUGCUUUGAUCCUUGUAAAUUUAAGAUCUUCAACUGUUCCAAACGCUGAGACAAAAGGAAUUUUGGUUUAGUAAAUGAAUUUUCGCGAACAAAAAAUUAAUCUCAAACAAAAUAAUAUGAUCAUGAAAUACUAAUUAUACCUCAUUUCCUUGCCAAAGUUGUUUUAUGUUGCUAUCCACCAUGUUGAGUUCAACAAGGUUCUCUCCAAGAAAAUUUGACGGCAAUGAUUUCAAAGGGUAUCCUUCCCAAUGAAGAUAUCUCAACUCAUGUGCAGGGAAUUGAAAAUCUUCAGGAAGAAUAACUUUAAACUCCUUUUCUGUAGUACCACAAUAACCGCUCCAAUAAAUCUUAAGCAAUCUAAGUCGUUUCAUCUUUGCAAAAAUCAUUGUCCUAAUUGAUAGUUCUUUUGAUCUCGACAAGUCCAAGAAUAUUGCCUCAACAUUUUUCAUCCCCUACAAACAAUAACAAAGGAUUAGGCAAGCAUAAAAGAGAUAAAGUUAGCUAAAAUUGUAUGGAUAUGUAACUUAGACAAAAAUGAUAUUGCUCAAAUUUAAAUAUUUUUAUGAAUCUUAAGAAAGUUCAUGAGUUUGAUGGUUACCCCCAUUGUAAAUGCACGACGCACAUCACUCGGAUCCCACAAUCUACUCCAUUUUGUAGGAUCAUCAGGAGAUUCACUACGAAUAAUGUUCCAUCCCAUUUCUUGUAUCAAAUCAUGCAUAAGAAUCUUAUUUUUAGAAAGAGAUAUAAGACACUUAUCACAGAGGACUUUUAUUUCUAUCUUUGCAUUCAAAUCACAACUGUCCAAUAUCCUUGAAACAUAGUCUUUGUCUUCCUCAUUAAAAAAACAUGCAAUAUCAAGAAAUGUUUUCUUCUGUGUAUAAUCUAAUCCGUCAAAGCUUACUUUAAGCACAUUAUGAAUUUUCACUUCAGGUUCUCUUUUCAAUUUAUGCAAUUGACUUUCCCAUUCGAAUAUUGUCUUGUCAAACAAGAAAGAACCGAGGACUUUUAGAGCUAAAGGAAGGCCGUGACAAUAACGGACUACACGAUCUGAGAGGUGGAUGAAGUCUUGUUUAGGAAGAUUUUGUCUAAAAGCAAAGAGACUAAAAAGCUCACGAGCUUGUUUAGAAUUUAAUUCCUCAACCUCAUAUAUGUCAUCCAUUUCUUGUAACAAAUGUUUAUUUCUUGUUGUUAUGAUGACUCUGCUUCCUCUUCCAAGCCAAUCACGAUUUCUGAGUAAAUGUUCUAAUUGAUUUGAAUCAUCAAUGUCAUCGAGAACAAUAAAAACUCUUUUACAUCGGAGAACAUUUUUUAUCAUAUUGGCUCCUUGGCUAAUGUUGCUUACAUUUUGAUUUCUCUCCACUUGUAGUAGAUCACAAAGAAUUUGAUUUUGUAAAUGAUGCAAACCUAUAGUAUUGCCAACUUCUCUAACAUUUUCGAGAAAGCUCAUAUACUCAAAUUCAUGAGAAAAUGUAUUAUAUACAACUUUGGCGAUAGUCGUCUUACCCAUUCCGCCUAUUCCACAUAUACCAAUGAUCCGAACAUCAUUCAAUUGAUCAACACAUAGCCGUCGAAUUAUCUCCUCUACAUGGGAAUCCAUACCAACCAAGUUGUCACCAACAUCCAACAUUCUACAAUUCAAUGUCCUGAAUAUAUGGUUGACGAUUUUGUUAACAUGCUUGGACUCAUACCUGCCAAUUGCAAAGUACAUGUGAUGAUUAAUUAAGCUAUUACUGAUAAAAGAAAUAUAAAAAAGAUUACACGUUAAGCUUCUUCAUGAGAAAUGAAUCAUAGUGAAAAAAUACAUAUAUAUCAAAAGUAUUAAGUUUUAAAACUCAAAUUAUGUUUUUAGGACAUUUUUAUUGUAUUAAGUAUUCGAGUCAAUGAAAAUAAAAUAUGUACUUGUGCAACAUUGUCAAAUUGAUUUUUUUUUUUUUUUUGUUACGGAAUAUUUAUAGGCUGCUAAGCAUGGAGCAAAUUUAUAUCAAACAAAAUCAUAUUGUAAUGACCCACUCUCUUGUGCAUAUAUAGAUAUCAUUUGCAGCUCUCUCUCUCUAUGUUAUGUGUAACAUUAUAAUUACCCAAUCCCCUAUCCACAAUGUAGACACAAGGUACUCAUCAUGUCUCAUAAUAUGAUGGGUUUGCAGGUCUUCAGUGACUUUCUAGAUUUACUUUGAAUACUUCAUGACUUGCAAUAAUCAUAAAUGACCUCCAAAUCUCUUCAACUAUGACUCCAUAAUCAUAAAAAUGUCUGAUUCCUGUGCCAGUAAAUAAAGCCUACUUAUAAAUGAAAGUUGAAGGGAAAUUAAUAAAGCUUUACCCAUCCUUCACAUGCUCUCCAGAUAUAUUGGCUGCUUCUGUCAAUGCACUCCUCCAACUUCGCACCUUCUCUUUCAUCUCCUCUGUAUCUUCUUUGUAAUUGGAAAAUGCCUUGCCAAACCUUCCUGUCUGGUGCCGUACAUGGGAUGGAUCCACUUGGUAGAAAAUCGGUACCACAAUUUGUUUCAUUUCUUUCCUGCACUUCAUGAUCUUCACCAGCUCAUCUAAACACCAUCUGGAACCAGCAUAGUUUCCCGAGAAAACUAUUAGGGAAAACCUUGAUUCUUCAAUAGCUUUUAGGAGUUCAGGCGCAAUCUCUUCCCCUCUCUUAAGUGAAUCAUCAUCUCUAAAGGUAGCAAUACCUCUUCGAAUCAAAUUUGCAUACAAGUGAUCAGUGAAAUUGAAUCGGGUGUCUUCACCUCUAAAACUCAAGAAAACAUCAUACUUCCAUUGUGGGAUGAAAGUAGAAAUAGAAGUAGAAGUAGAACUUG